CUGACGACCGGCGCACGGGUGCGUUACGCGUAUGCAACCUGUCCGUUACAGGGGGAUAGCCCAUGGCCACGUGGAUUAACACUCCAUAAUAUAAUAUAGAGGCAUCUUUGUAUUAUUAAAUAUUCAUAGGUAACGGUUGGGCAUGCGUCCUAUUAGAUAGUUGGGGGGGUAACGGCCCACCAAGUCGAUGAUAGGUAGGGGUUCUGAGAGGAAGGUCCCCCACACUGGUACUGAGACACGGACCAGACUCCUACGGGAGGCAGCAGUGAGGAAUAUUGGUCAAUGGGCGAGAGCCUGAACCAGCCAAGUCGCGUGAGGGAUGACUGCCCUAUGGGUUGUAAACCUCUUUUGUAUGGGGGGAAUAAGCUUUACGAGUAGAGUGAUGACAGUACCAUACGAAUAAGCAUCGGCUAACUCCGUGCCAGCAGCCGCGGUAAUACGGAGGAUGCGAGCGUUAUCCGGAUUUAUUGGGUUUAAAGGGUGCGUAGGCGGCAUUAUAAGUUAGUGGUAAAAUAUUGGGGCUUCACCUCACUACGCCAUUAAUACUGUAGAGCUAGAGAACAGACGAGGUAGGCGGAAUAAGUUAAGUAGCGGUGAAAUGCAUAGAUAUAACUUAGAACACCGAUAGCGAAGGCAGCUUACCAGACUGAGUCUGACGCUGAUGCACGAGAGCAUGGGUAGCGAACAGGAUUAGAUACCCUGGUAGUCCAUGCCGUAAACGAUGCUCACUGGCCUUAGGCGAUAUACGGUCUG
rnacentral:rRNA from 1 species